CAGACUCUUCCUCUUCUUCCUCAAUCAAAAUGCAAACCGUCCAAGUUUCAAGCCACAUUCGAAACAAAUUAUAAUUCUGAAGAAACGUUUCAACUCCUUACGAAGAGUAGAAGAAAUCAAGAACAAAAGAUACAAAUUUCCAUCAAAAAUCACCAGAAAAAACGAAAAAACAUUAUUCAAGGUAAGGUACUGUUUUACUGUUCUUCUAGGUUUUUCACAUUUCUGUUUCUGAUUUCGAAAUUAAAGCACUAUACCGUUAGUAUUUCUCUCUCUGUUUCUUCUAGGUUCUUCUAGGUUUUACUGUUCUUCUUGUUCUAGAUCUCAUAUUACUGUUCUGAUGAAACUAUUCUUCGUUUACACUAUCUUACUUACUUCUAGUGAAUGCUUUAACGUGUAUUUUGAUACAUAUUUUGUGCAUGUUUACAUGUUUUUUAAGUAGGUUUGUGCAUGUUUACAUGAAAGACUCUUCUUCUUCUAACUGAUUUUUGGGUGUAUAUAGCCGAUUGUUGGGUGUAUAUCUCGGUCUUGGCAUGCAACUGUUGUUUCUAGUGGCAUUUUGAACUUAAAUAUAUUUUUGGACUCAUAUAAUGCCAUAUAAUUCAAAAAAUAUAGAGGUGUAUGGGACUGAUAUAUAUAUUAGGACUGAUAUAUAUGGGACUGAUAAUUUUUAGUAGGAUCUAGUUACUUUUAGGGAUGUUUUUAUUAGUUUUUAUGAUAAAUUCACAUUUUUGGACUUUACUAUGAGUUUGUAUAUUUUUCUGUGAUUUCAGGUAUUUUCUGGCUGAAAUUGAGGGACUUGAGCAAAAAUCAGAUUCAGAGGUUGAAGAAGGACUGCAGAUGCUGUUGGAUUCUGACCUCCCUGCACUCAAAGUGGAUUUUCUGGAGCUACAAAACUCCAAAUGGCGCGCUUUUAAUUGCGUUGGAAAGUAGACAUCCAGGGCUUUCCAGCAAUAUAUAAUAGUUCAUACUUUGUCCGAGUUUAGAUGACGCAAACUGGCGUUGAACGCCAGUUCCAUGCUGCAGUCUGGCGUUCAGCGCCAGAAACAAGUUGCAAAGUGGAGUUCAACGCCAAAAACACGUUACAAACUGGCGUUCAACUCCAAGAAUGACCUCUCCAUGUGAAAGCUUCAAGCUCAGCCCAAGCACACACCA
rnacentral:lncRNA from 1 species